AGCGAACGCUGGCGGCAGGCCUAACACAUGCAAGUCGAACGAAGUCUUCGGACUUAGUGGCGGACGGGUGAGUAACACGUGGGAACGUGCCUUUAGGUUCGGAAUAACUCAGGGAAACUUGUGCUAAUACCGAAUGUGCCCCUCGGGGGAAAGAUUUAUCGCCUUUAGAGCGGCCCGCGUCUGAGUAGCUAGUUGGUGAGGUAAAGGCUCACCAAGGCGACGAUCAGUAGCUGGUCUGAGAGGAUGAUCAGCCACAUUGGGACUGAGACACGGCCCAAACUCCUACGGGAGGCAGCAGUGGGGAAUCUUGCGCAAUGGGCGAAAGCCUGACGCAGCCAUGCCGCGUGAAUGAUGAAGGUCUUAGGAUUGUAAAAUUCUUUCACCGGGGACGAUAAUGACGGUACCCGGAGAAGAAGCCCCGGCUAACUUCGUGCCAGCAGCCGCCGCCGUAA
rnacentral:rRNA from 1 species